GUGAUCACUUCUGCAGCACAAAUAUUAAAACUGGAAUGCUACAGAGAUGAUUAGCAUGGUUCCUGCACAAGGAUGACACACACAUUCCUGAAGAGUCCUAUAGCUUU